rnacentral:rRNA from 1 species
UACGUAGGGGGCAAGCGUUAUCCGGAUUUACUGGGUGUAAAGGGGGCGCAGACGGCAGCGCAAGCCAGGAGUGAAAGCCCGGGGCCCAACCCCGGGACUGCUCUUGGAACUGCGCGGCUGGAGUGCAGGAGGGGCAGGCGGAAUUCCUGGUGUAGCGGUGAAAUGCGUAGAUAUCAGGAGGAACACCAGUGGCGAAGGCGGCCUGCUGGACGGUGACUGACGCUGAGGCUCAAAAGCGUGGGGAGCAAACAGG